UACGUAGGGGGCUAGCGUUGUCCGGAUUUAUUGGGCGUAAAGAGCGUGUAGGCGGCCCGGUAAGUCCGCUGUGAAAGUCGGGGGCUCAACCCUCGAAUGCCGGUGGAUACUGUCGGGCUAGAGUGCGGAAGAGGCGAGUGGAAUUCCUGGUGUAGCGGUGAAAUGCGCAGAUAUCAGGAGGAACACCAAUUGCGAAGGCAGCUCGCUGGGACGUUACUGACGCUGAGACGCGAAAGCGUGGGGAGCAAACAGG
rnacentral:rRNA from 1 species